UAAAAAAGAUGGCGAGUGGCGAACGGGUGAGUAAUGCAUCGGAACGUGCCCAAUCGUGGGGGAUAACGCAGCGAAAGCUGUGCUAAUACCGCAUACGAUCUAUGGAUGAAAGCGGGGGACCUUCGGGCCUCGCGCGAUUGGAGCGGCCGAUGUUAGAUUAGGUAGUUGGUGGGGUAAAGGCUCACCAAGCCGACGAUCUAUAGCUGGUCUGAGAGGACGACCAGCCACACUGGAACUGAGACACGGUCCAGACUCCUACGGGAGGCAGCAGUGGGGAAUUUUGGACAAUGGGCGCAAGCCUGAUCCAGCAAUACCGCGUGCAGGAAGAAGGCCUUCGGGUUGUAAACUGCUUUUGUACGGAACGAAAAGGCUCUUUCUAAUAAAGAGGGCUCAUGACGGUACCGUAAGAAUAAGCACCGGCUAACUACGUGCCAGCAGCCGCGGUAAUACGUAGGGUGCGAGCGUUAAUCGGAAUUACUGGGCGUAAAGCGUGCGCAGGCGGUUUUGUAAGACAGACGUGAAAUCCCCGGGCUCAACCUGGGAAUUGCGUUUGUGACUGCAAGGCUAGAGUACGGUAGAGGGGGGUAGAAUUCCGCGUGUAGCAGUGAAAUGCGUAGAUAUGCGGAGGAACACCGAUGGCGAAGGCAGCCCCCUGGACCUGUACUGACGCUCAUGCACGAAAGCGUGGGGAGCAAACAGGAUUAGAUACCCUGGUAG
rnacentral:rRNA from 1 species